AACUUUUAACAAUGGAUCUCUUGGUUCUCGCAUCGAUGAAGAACGCAGUAAAAUGCGAUAAGUAAUGUGAAUUGCAGAAUUCAGUGAAUCAUCGAAUCUUUGAACGCACAUUGCGCCCCCUGGUAUUCCGGGGGGCACACCUGUUCGAGCGCCAUUUCAACCCUCAAGCCCCGCUUGGUGAUGGGCCCCGCCUGCGGGCGGGCCCGAAACUCGUGGGCGUCGUCGUUCGGCUCCAAGCGUAGCAAAACCCUCGCUUGGGCGCCCGGACGGAGGCCGCCCGGAACGAAUUUUUACAAGGUUGGCCUCGGAUCAGGUGGGGAUACCCGCUGAACUUAAGCAUAUCAAUAAGCGGAGGCU
rnacentral:misc_RNA from 1 species